AACGAACGCUGGCGGCAUGCCUAACACAUGCAAGUCGAACGAGACCUUCGGGUCUAGUGGCGCACGGGUGCGUAACGCGUGGAAAUCUGCCCUUGGGUGCGGAAUAACAGUUAGAAAUGACUGCUAAUACCGCAUAAUGACUCCGGUCCAAAGAUUUAUCGCCCAGGGAUGAGCCCGCGUCGGAUUAGCUAGUUGGUAGGGUAAAAGCCUACCAAGGCGACGAUCCGUAGCUGGUCUGAGAGGAUGAUCAGCCACACUGGGACUGAGACACGGCCCAGACUCCUACGGGAGGCAGCAGUGGGGAAUAUUGGACAAUGGGCGAAAGCCUGAUCCAGCAAUGCCGCGUGAGUGAUGAAGGCCUUAGGGUUGUAAAGCUCUUUUACCCGGGAUGAUAAUGACAGUACCGGGAGAAUAAGCCCCGGCUAACUCCGUGCCAGCCGCCGCCGUAACAC
rnacentral:rRNA from 1 species